AUUGAACGCUGGCGGCAUGCUUUACACAUGCAAGUCGAGCGGCAGCGCGGGGGCAACCCUGGCGGCGAGCGGCGAACGGGUGAGGAACACAUCGGAACGUGCCCCGGAGUGGGGGAUAACGCCGCGAAAGCGGCGCUAAUACCGCAUAUGCUCUGAGGAGGAAAGCGGGGGACCAGCAAUGGCCUCGCGCUCUGGGAGCGGCCGAUGUCCGAUUAGCAGUUGGUGGGGUAAUGGCCCACCAAGGCGACGAUCGGUAGCUGGUCUGAGAGGAUGAUCAGCCACACUGGGACUGAGACACGGCCCAGACUCCUACGGGAGGCAGCAGUGGGGAAUUUUGGACAAUGGGGGCAACCCUGAUCCAGCCAUGCCGCGUGCGGGAAGAAGGCCUCGG
rnacentral:rRNA from 1 species